AGUGGUGCCAAUGUUAAACCUGCAUUUACGGUCAUAAAUAUGGUAUCCAACCAACGGAACAAAGGACCAAGUUCCCAAACACAACAGGAUAAAAGAAAGGUAGCAUCACAUAGAUUAUAAUUAUGAAACAAAGCUAUCACAUUGAAAACAUUAUAAUCAACAAAGAGCUAUUAUAUGAGGAAGCCAAUAUCCUCAAACCCCCUCCCUAAAUGAUCAUGAGAUUCAUGAAUUCAACCUCAUGUAUGCACACUAUAGAUCUCCUUCUUUACUAUUUCUUGUAUGCAUAUAAUAGCCUGAGUUACAUUUACCAAAGAUUUUUUGAUAUGCAAGAAACAAAACCAGUUACAUCCGUUUGUCAAGAAUGUAUCGCUGCUUCAACCAGUUACAUCCAGUUAUAUGUAUCUCUCAUUUACACUAAAUUGUAGCCGCUGCUUCAACCAUAAAAAGCCCACAUAAUUAUGGCAGUCAUCCACAACAAAUAAAAACGCUAAGCAACUAAACUAAACUCAGCCCCAACACCAACUGGGGACAGUUAUACAUUACAUGAAUCCUUUUUUUUCCAGCCAUUUCAGGGCAACAAGAAGAAAUCUUGCCAAAAUUUUCAAUGAUGAGUCGAAUAAACAGAUAGCUGCCACUUAACAUCGGGAGAUUAGACAUUGCAUACUCGUCACCAAUAACUUACAGUCAGCACAUUAUCA
rnacentral:misc_RNA from 1 species